rnacentral:lncRNA from 1 species
CCGCCAUCGGUUGGGGUGUGACAACUGCUGUAGCUGUCAUAUUUAUGUUAUCACGAUCCUCCUUAUGCACUUCUAUUUGCAUAUGGCGCCAAAUCUUCUCUCAUUGCCUCUAACAGUUACUCUCAUGUGGCGAUACUUGAUACUGUUGUCUGAGAUGAUGAUUGCCUGAUCAAUUGGUCAUGGUUCCAACAGCCCAAAGAAAACUAGAGAAAUAAAGUGCAGCUGCGAGGGCCCCGUAUUUACCAGUGGUGUCCCGAGAUAUUCUAUGAUCAAAGGCUUUGUUUUCGUUU